GGAUAAUAUGUAUUCCUAAACACAUCGCGUGCAACUAUUGUGAAAGAGUAAAACAGAAGACAGCUGCACUGCUGAUGGCCUCUUUUCCACAAACAUAUGUCCCCCUGGAAGAUGGAACAUUAAACAAACUGUCACGAGUCAUGUUAUUGAUGGUGUAACAGUGUGCAAUAAUUGGAGGACACAAAAGCUUUAACAAUAAACAAAAUAACUUUAUUAUUAUCAGUCUUGGCAUUGGCUGUAACACCUGAGUCCAGAUUGUUACCUUAAG